UCAGUAGAAAGACAGUACCUCGCCU
rnacentral:miRNA from 1 species